GAUAAAAAGAAAAGGAGAGAGAUGAGAAGAAAGGAAGAUGAAGAGGUUGGUGUUGUCUGCAAGCUGACUGGUGGUGGACUGGAUCCCCUCGGCCAGACCAUCCACAGGGAUCCCAAGCAGCUCUCUCCAGCUCACACCCAGUUGCUGCUGCCCAGUUGUGACUCCCUGCGGUUUAGUGAAUGGCUUCGUGUGCUUGAUCACUGCCACUGUGUGGAGGGAGGGGAGCAGCCAGGGAGAGCUGGAAGGCUCCCCAGAGAAUAGCACGGGAUCAAUAGGAAGCCUUUGCUCAUUUCUGAGCACUGUGCUCUGUGCUGCCUUCCUGCAGCUGGGGCUGAUGGACUUUUGUGGCUUCUUGUUGUGUUUUUCUAGCUCAGAAGUAUGAAUCUGUUUUGGCACAGGGUUUGGGGCCUUCCUGCACUUACAAACGUUCCCCUGACUCCAGCCCUGGUUACUCACAUGGACAGAAGCAUUAACUAGGAAAACUUUCAUGCCAAUCACUUCAUGCCCUUGGCUUUCAUAUGGCUCUGAAGAGCAGCAGCUAAUUAAAGAUAUGAUUCAUAAUUACUGGUCGAUCGAGGAGCUGAGUAAUGGAAUCAGGAGCUGAUCCAAAAAAAUUAUCCAUCACAUUAUUGCUAAUUGUUACAUAAUACAUGAGGAUGUGGAACCCAAAUAAAAAACUACUCGCUUUUGA